UGACCUGAUCCGCUGAAUCCAUACAGAACGGAGGACCCAACUGAUUAUUCCAGAAUAAUUAUGGGGUGAAGCCGAAAGGCCGGGGGACUUCUGCCUUCCGAACCCGUCAGCUAACUUCGUAAGCGUUGCAGGAGAGAGGA
rnacentral:sRNA from 17 species